rnacentral:rRNA from 1 species
GCAGUAGCCGCGGUAAUACGAAGGGGGCUAGCGUUGUUCGGAAUUACUGGGCGUAAAGCGUGCGCAGGCGGUUCGUUAAGACAGAUGUGAAAUCCCCGGGCUUAACCUGGGAACUGCAUUUGUGACUGGCGAGCUAGAGUAUGGCAGGGGGGGGUAGAAUUCCACGUGUAGCAGUGAAAUGCGUAGAGAUGUGGAGGAAUACCGAUGGCGGAGGCAGCCCCCUGGGCCAAUACUGACGCUCAUGCGCGAAAGCGUGGGGAGCAAACAGGAUUAGAUACCCCCGUAGUCCCUGUCUCUUAUAC